rnacentral:tRNA from 1 species
GGGGGUAGAGCUCAGUGGUAGACCACAUGCUUAGCAUGCACAAGGUCCUAGGUUCAAUCCUCAGUACCUCCA